AGCAUGCAAGUGGAACGGACUUUGGGCCGCAAGGCUUAAAGUUAGUCGCAGACGGGUGAGUAAUGCACAGGAAUCUACCCAAUGGUUGGGAAUAACGGCCCGAAAGGACCGCUAAUACCGAAUGAGCCCGCAAGGGGAAAGGCCAUAACUGGCCGCCGAUGGAGGAGCCUGUGUCCUAUCAGCUUGUUGGUGGGGUAAAAGCCUACCAAGGCGACGACGGGUAGCUGGACUGAGAGGUCGGUCAGCCACAAUAGCACUGAGAACGGGCUAUACAUCUACGGAUGGCAGCAACUGGGAAUAUUGUGCAAUGGGCGAAAGCCUGACACAGCGACACCGCGUGAGGGAUGACGGCCUUCGGGUUGUAAACCUCUUUUGCCAGUUUACAUAAACUGGAGAAUAAGCACUCGCUAACCACGUGCCAGCAGCUGCGGUAAUACGUGGGGUGCAAGCGUUAUCCGGAUUUAUUGGGCGUAAAGAGUUCGUAGGUGUCUGGCCAAGUUUCGUUUGAAAUCCCGAGGCUCAACCUCCGACCCGAACGAAAAACUGGUCAGAUCGAGUCUACUAGGGGGUACUGGAACUUGUAGUGUAGCAGUGAAAUGCGUUGAUAUUACAAGGAACACCGAGGGCGAAGGCAGGUACCUGGGGUAUGACUGACACUCAGUGAACGAAAGCUAGGGGAGCGAAACAGAUUAGAGACCUGUGUAGUCCUAGCCGUAAACUAUGCUCGCUUGAUCCCUGGAUCUUGUAUUUGGGGGUCGAAGCUAACGCGUGAAGCGAGCCGC
rnacentral:rRNA from 1 species